AAUGAGUCCAGGAGUCUCUUUUGUAAGAGAUGUUAUUGGUGCCCCAGCCAUACCUAUCCUCCUGGGCCUCACCUUUGUGUUACACUCCCUGUCUUACUUCCAGGUGCCAGCCUGUGUACCUCUUUGCUGAAGGGCUUGCCAAAGCACCUGGAACCUGCUACUUGUGCCUAAGGUUCUAAACAAACUGGAAAAAAUGCUUGAGAAAAUGUUACCCAUGAUGAACCACCUAUCCACCCUCAUCAACCAAAGCCAGUUCAGCUCCCAGGCAGUUUUCUUGAAAACUUGCUUAGCCUGCAACUUCUGCAUUGGACUCCUGGCAGUGCUUGGAGCAAGGGGCAAUGGCGACUGCACACCAGGAAACUGGUUCUGCUACCUAAUUUGGUAAAUUUCUUUGGAAAUAAUUCCAUUACCCGUGGGUAUCAACUGGACUUAACAUAUCAACAGCUAAGGAUGCCUGAAACAAUUGCUAAGGAUGCCUCUACAGACCUUCAUUAUAGUCCAUGCAUCAGGUAAGUUUCUCUCUAUUAUAUCCCAUAGAAAUCAGAGUACUGUCUUAAAAUACCAGAAUCCUUUUAUAUUCAAAUUGCUCUCCAUGAAGGACAGC
rnacentral:lncRNA from 1 species